CGCCGUCAUACCAUCGGCGUACAGGUGACCCCACCAGCCUGAGACACCGGGCACGGAAAUCACCGUUAAACGUACAUAAUGCGAAUGAGAGCAGACCUACCUUGUGAACGGCGUCAUGGUGGCACCCCAUGUCGGGUGCUGCAGGUUAGAGCACAGACCAUCGUACCGCCGGUACUUCCCAGGGCGGCACUCCACGUUGGCCAGGAACGGCGGACACACUUCCCUUAUAAGUGUCUUGGACGUGUCGAUGAGGGGAAGCCCCUUUUCGAUGUCUUCAUAGCUCAGGCCGUACCUGCGGGUGACAGGAAACGUGAAAACCUGCCUGACAGUUUUCUACUUACAAUGAGGUCAGCGUAGCCGUAUCGCAGCUUACUAUUUCGGAAGAACGAUGUUCGAGUCCCGGUCGAAGAAGCAGCAAUUCUAAUACAGG